GAUGAACGCUGGCGGCGUGCCUAAUACAUGCAAGUCGAGCGAACAGACGAGGAGCUUGCUCCUCUGACGUUAGCGGCGGACGGGUGAGUAACACGUGGAUAACCUACCUAUAAGACUGGGAUAACUUCGGGAAACCGGAGCUAAUACCGGAUAAUAUAUUGAACCGCAUGGUUCAAUAGUGAAAGACGGUUUUGCUGUCACUUAUAGAUGGAUCCGCGCCGCAUUAGCUAGUUGGUAAGGUAACGGCUUACCAAGGCAACGAUGCGUAGCCGACCUGAGAGGGUGAUCGGCCACACUGGAACUGAGACACGGUCCAGACUCCUACGGGAGGCAGCAGUAGGGAAUCUUCCGCAAUGGGCGAAAGCCUGACGGAGCAACGCCGCGUGAGUGAUGAAGGUCCUCGGAUCGUAAAACUCUGUUAUUAGGGAAGAACAAAUGUGUAAGUAACUAUGCACGUCUUGACGGUACCUAAUCAAAAAGCCACGGCUAACUACGUG
rnacentral:rRNA from 1 species